UACGAAGGGGGCUAGCGUUGCUCGGAUUGACUGGGCGUAAAGGGCGCGUAGGCGGCUUGUACAGUCAGACGUGAAAUUCCUGGGCUCAACCUGGGGGCUGCGUUUGAUACGUGCGGGCUUGAGUUCGGAAGAGGGUCGUGGAAUUCCCAGUGUAGAGGUGAAAUUCGUAGAUAUUGGGAAGAACACCGGUGGCGAAGGCGGCGACCUGGCCCGAUACUGACGCUGAGGCGCGAAAGCGUGGGGAGCGAACAGG
rnacentral:rRNA from 1 species